rnacentral:rRNA from 1 species
CCUACGGGAGGCAGCAGUAGGGAAUAUUGCUCAAUGGGGGAAACCCUGAAGCAGCAACGCCGCGUGGAGGCUGAAGGUUUUCUGAUUGUAAACUCCUUUUGUUAGAGAAGAUAAUGACGGUACAUAACGAAUAAGCACCGGCUAACUCCGUGCCAGCAGCCGCGGUAAUACGGGGGGUGCAAGCGUUAUGCGGAACCACGGGUCGUAAAGAGCGCGUAGGCGGGAUAGCAAGUCAGAUGUGAAAUCCUAUGGCUUAACCAUAGAAUGGCAUUUGAAACUGUUAUUCUUGAGUAUGGUAGAGGUAGGUGGAAUUCUUGGUGUAGGGGUAAAAUCCGUAGAGAUCAAGAGGAAUACUCAUUGCGAAGGCGACCUGCUAGAACAUAACUGACGCUGAUGCGCGAAAGCGUGGGGAGCAAACAGGAUUAGAUACCCUAGUAGUC